AUACUUGCUAAAAAGAAAGUACACAUUGUUUUCCCUUCGCAGUCGUCGUAUUCCGACGGACAAUUGUCCAUUUUCCUCUUUCUUUUUCCACUACAGGAUUUGUUAAUUGAUAUGCAUUCAUUCUAAUCGCCGGUUUCUUCAAUCUUUCGGUCUGAGAUCUGUUCUUCAAUCUAUAGGUCAUAUUCUCUCCGCGAUCUGGUAUGUAUUCCCGACUUUAUCUCGAUCUCCAUCUCUCGAUUUGGUUCUCUUAAACAACCGGACGGGUUUACUUUUGAUCUGCACCUUGUACGAUCUCCAUAUUCGAUUUGCUCCUGAUUCAAGAUACUAAUAAGUGAUCCCAUUCCUUCCAAAAACAUUAUGCAAACCGAACACCCACCCUUUUUUUAGUAUGAAAAUGACAAUGACACACAGAAUCAAGAUUGAGUUUAGGGCUUGGAAGAAGAUUGGCACUCGGAAGACAGGGAAUAGUUGAUUUCGCAACAGCUUGGUUUUAGGAAUAACUGAAAUGUUACCAGAGAGGAGGGGAGUUAUUGUUGGUGCAGAUCUGAUUAAAGGUCCUGAUCAUAUUAGUGACCAUGGAUUACGGGCUGUUCGUCGUGGCAGGAGGUCUGGACGGAGGAGACUGUUGUUUUGGAUGUUCUCAUUUGCUGCCAUCUUCUCCAUCUGUAUUGCUGUUUUUGGAUUUAAGAUGUUAUUCCCUGGUGUAGAAGAGCGUCAAAGCUUUUCAUCAUUGACAGAUGUAAAAGAUGUAUCAAUAAAAUCAGAUGCCCAGGAGCAGCCGAAAAAGAAGCCUCAUAGGGGACGUUUUAACCCUUGUGAAGUUGACCUAGGGGACUCAGUUGAUGCACUUGUUGAGCCCAAAGCGUUCUGGAAUUUUGUAAAAUUUUCAUUACACUAUGUUGAGAGGGAGAACAUAACUUCCCUUGAAAAUCCAGCAACUCCCAGAUUUGGAGGUCAUCAGACCCUUGAAGAAAGAGAGCGAUCCUUCCAUGCAGUCAAUCAAACAAUUCACUGCGGUUUUGUAAAAGGAUUGGAAGGGUUUCCAAGCACUGGGUUUGAUUUGGUCGAGGAGGACAAAUCGUACAUGAGUACCUGUACUGUGGUUGUAUCAUCCUGUAUUUUCGGAAGCUCAGACUUUUUGCGGAGGCCAACUAGCAAAUUGAUCAGCCAGUACUCAAAGAAGAAUGUUUGUUUCAUUAUGUUUGUUGACAAGGAAUCACUCGAAAAAUUAUCAAAUGAGGGAAGUAUUCCUGAUGAGAGAGGAUUUAUUGGGUUAUGGAGGAUAGUUGUAGUAAGCAACUUACCAUAUGAGGACAUGCGGAAAACUGGGAAGGUGCCAAAAUUUUUGUCACAUCGGCUUUUCCCAUCAGCAAGGUAUUCCAUUUGGCUUGAUAGCAAGAUGAGGCUUCAUACUGACCCAAUGCUCCUAAUUGACUACUUUCUGUGGCGAAGGAAAUCGGAAUACGCCAUUUCUAACCAUUAUACUCGUCAUUGUGUCUGGGACGAAGUACAACAAAAUAAGCAUUUAAAUAAGUACAACCACACAGCAAUAGAUGAACAGUUUCUGUUUUACCAGUCUGAUGGUCUCCACAAGUUUGAUCCUUCAAACCCCAAUAAUCCCCUUCCAAGUUGUGCGUAUCACUGAUGUACCUGAAGGUUCGUUCAUUGUCAGGGCACAUACACCAAUGUCGAAUCUAUUUUCGUGUCUUUGGUUCAAUGAAGUUGAUCGUUUUACUUCACGGGAUCAGUUGAGCUUUGGAUAUACUUUCUUGAAGUUGACGAGAACAAACCCAGAUAAACGAUUUGUACUGCAUAUGUUUAAGGACUGUGAGCGCAGAGCCGUCACAAAGCUAUUUCAUCAUAGAAUUCCUUGACCUAUAUUCAACAUUAUCGGUGUGCUCUGACAUGCUCCAUGUUCAAAUAAGCUGGUUCUGAGCAAUGUAGUCUCGAGCAUCAUUGGAGCCAUGUAAGAUGCAGAUCAUAAAACCCCCGAAAAUAAGGCACUAGUUUUUGAAGCAUCUGUUGUAUGCCGAAUGAACAGAUAUCUGCAGAUUUGGUGAGAUAUCAACUUCGUUUUCACUAUUUUCUAGGAAAGAUGACGAAAACCCACGACCGGUUUAAGCUAUGUUUGAUGUCUGCAUAAGUUAUUGAUGACAUAGUUUGUGGAUUAUUACUGAGGUUUGUUAUCAGGCCAUUGUCAAGCGCAAGCUGAAGAUGGAAAGUAUAUAGAUAGGAUUUUUGUAAUUGUAGACUGUUGUAUGAAUAGUCAUUGAUAUAGAUAUACCACUAUUUUAGAGC